GAUGAACGCUAGCUACAGGCUUAACACAUGCAAGUCGAGGGGCAGCGGGGUUGAAGCUUGCUUCAACCGCCGGCGACCGGCGCACGGGUGAGUAACACGUAUCCAACCUGCCGAUAACUCCGGGAUAGCCUUUCGAAAGAAAGAUUAAUACCGGAUGGCAUAGUUUUCCCGCAUGGAAUAACUAUUAAAGAAUUUCGGUUAUCGAUGGGGAUGCGUUCCAUUAGGCAGUUGGCGGGGUAACGGCCCACCAAACCGACGAUGGAUAGGGGUUCUGAGAGGAAGGUCCCCCACAUUGGAACUGAGACACGGUCCAAACUCCUACGGGAGGCAGCAGUGAGGAAUAUUGGUCAAUGGACGAGAGUCUGAACCAGCCAAGUAGCGUGAAGGAUGACUGCCCUAUGGGUUGUAAACUUCUUUUAUACGGGAAUAAAGUUAGCCACGUGUGGUUUUUUGCAUGUACCGUAUGAAUAAGGAU
rnacentral:rRNA from 1 species